GCGCGGGGGGGUGGUGUUGUUGUGGGGAGUAAGGGUUGCUUGUCAUCUACAAUAUGAGCUAUGUUUUGAAAACUAAACAAUAUCAAGCGGGGGGAGGUGAAGUAAGGGUUCAGUCUUUUACAUUCCAGAAAGUUUAACUGAUGGUUGACGAAGUGAUGUUGGCAUGAUGUAAUAAAUUAUAUUUAUAAAUUGGGUAAUCAUGGUGCCAAAAUGAUAGCAUGGUUGGAGUGUAGGUUUGAGCCUUACAGAUAUUUAAUACUCCCAAAAUAAUUUUACAUGAAACAGAUGGUGUGACAGAAACUUGCCAUUCUAACAUUAAGCUAACCAGCUGAAUUGCCAUAACUUGGAUGAAAUUAACUGAUUCUCAGUUAUACUGACUAGGUCAACUGAUUGAUAAUUUGGAUUGAAUAAGCUAGAUUUUUAAUGGCACCUCAUUCAGUGACUAGCCUAGUUGCUUGUUAUUCUGGUAUUUUUUGCCAGUCUGGUCCGGGUUUCAGAAAAUAUGAACAUUAUUCUUUUGUUAACUCUAAAUGAAAAGUUUUUUUUUUAAUUUUAUAGACGAGAAACUUGCAAUUCUAUUAAAAUAGGAAUGGAGAUGAAUUGGAUUUUGACAAAAAGAAAAUAUUUAGAGAGUUGGGGGCAGGCGUCAUGUAUUGCAAAGGUUAUUUUGUUGGUUCAACUAGAUUUAGGAACUUACAACAAUUGAUAGGCAACAUUUGGGGCUAUUUUAUGGUCUUACCAUUUGAUAUCAUUCUACUUUAUAUAGCCUUAACUCACACCUUGACAUUUGGUUGUGAAGCAUGAAUCUUUUUCUUUCACUUUACCUUGUUUGGGACUGUUGUAUAGUUUUACAGUGCAUCAUAUGUCUUUGAUAUAUAUCCUACUGGCCUUCCCCUUUUGUUAGUUCCUUAAGAGAAAUAUAGAUAUUUUUUUUCUUGUGACUUAAUGAUUUGAGUUUACAUUUUGCAAUCUUAUUCUCAAUUGAUUUGCAUCUUUAUCUUUCAUAUAAUAAGGUUGUAGUUCUUGCCUUGUUCUAUCAACCAGUGAAUUCCUAACUUUGAUUUUGUCAGCUAUAUCCUCUCACUUUUCAUCUCUGAACAUCAGAGAUGAUAAUGGUCAUCAAUCUAUUACCAACACAAGAAGCUAAGGACCCCAAUUUGAUUCAUGGUUUGUUCCUUGUCUGAUUCAUUUUCUCCCAUUCAUAAUUGCCUAGGGGACAGUUGCAAAGAUUACUUGUUUCCCCACAACUGUACCGGGGUGUGCUCUUUUUUUUUCUUCCCUUCUCCAAAAGAGUUAGUAAACAGAAAAAAAAAAAUAAAAGUUAGCUUUUCAAUUAUCAGAAGAGUAAACCGCAAAUAAUGAAAACUUCCCCCUUUGUCCAUUCUUCUCGAAGUGCACAAAAUUUAUGAUGACUAUGAAGAAGAAAUAGAGGGAAAAGGAAGAAAUAAUCUUGACGAGGGCUACAAAAGUUAUGUCAUGUUUGAAAUAUUUUGUGAUAUGAUUUUUUUUCCUUGAAAUUCAAAGACUAAAUAUUUUGUUAUCACCUGUAUUUUUUUCACUGAAGAAUUUCCUCCUUGGUCUUAGUUUAUUGACUUGCUAUAGGCAUCUGAUUGUAGAUCAGAAAUUGAGUGAUAUUUUGAAGAUUCACUUCAUUUUUUAAGGCCUUUCUUUUCUUGGUUGUUUACUUUAAUCUAGGAGGCGGUCAUAGCUGCUUUAG
rnacentral:misc_RNA from 1 species